GUAGUCGUGGCCGAGUGGUUAAGGUGAUGGACUCGAAAUCCAUUGGGGUCUACCCGCGCAGGUUCAAAUCCUGCCGACUCUGACCACA